rnacentral:rRNA from 1 species
UACAGAGGGUGCAAGCGUUAAUCGGAAUUACUGGGCGUAAAGCGUGCGCAGACGGUUGCGUAAGUCAGAUGUGAAAGCCCCGGGCUCAACCUGGGAAUUGCAUUUGGAGACUGCGUAGCUAGGGUGCGGAAGAGGGAAGCGGAAUUUCCGGUGUAGCGGUGAAAUGCGAUAGAUAGUCGGAAGGAACACCUGUGGCGAAAGCGGCUCUCUGGACCACAACUGGACGCUGAGGCGGCGAAAGCUG